rnacentral:rRNA from 1 species
AAACCUUACUAAGGUAAGACAUCGUUAUGAUUGACAGAUUACUUGAUCUUUCUUGAUUUGGUGGGUGGUGGUGCAUGGCCGAUCUUAGUUGGUGGGGUGACUUGUCUGGUUAAUUCCGAUAACGAACGAGAUCCGAGCAGUUUUGUUGCUUGAAAUUAUAUGAUAUAAUUUUUAGUUCCUAAAUGGACCAUCAGAAUAAUCUGAAGGAAGUGACGGGCUAAAU